ACCAGCACUUCCCACGAGGCUCCCUCCCGCCUCAGUGCCACGUGCGCCUGGAUGUCAACAGCAAAGAGCGCCACGGGCCACGCCCCGCCGGCGGCUGCCCACCGAGGACUCGCCCAGGGCUCGCCCACGCCGCAUCGGGACCGCGCCCCUCCCCUCCCGCCCGCUUGCCGGCUUUCUCAGCCAGGACAGCGAGCACUUCCAGAGGGCACUGCAGGUUUUGUAGCACAGGACAGAGACUUAACCCAGCUGAAUCCCAGUGGGAAAUGAAGCCCUUACUCUGGAGGCGCACCUUUAGCUAAGGGCUCUACUGUGAUGAUUUCACUGCUGUUGCCUCUUCCGGCUGAAGUCACGGCCACCACCCAGACGCUGUACUGGCGAUUUCGACUCAGGGGACACAGAGCUUCUGCUGUUGGCCAAGAUGAAAUAACAAGAGUUAGAUGAUCACUUCCACCCAGAGCAACCAAAGAGCACACAGAGGAUAUGAAAAGGGGUCCUGCAUUUUUAAGAGGGUUUUAAAGCCAUGGCACAUGGAGGGGACCCAAAAGGGUCCUAGCAGUCUCAAGUUAAGAAGAAGACAGAGCUGAGGAGAGGAGGUGGGAAUUCACAGGGAGAGUACUGGAAAUGAGCGUUAUACAGAGAGAACUCCAGAAAUCUGAAGAGGGUUCUACUUGGGCAUUCAGCUGAGCGGAUCCUGGCCUGCACUCGUGGAAACAUCCUGAAGCCCAGGAAAGAACCACCUGAAAGUAUUGGCAGUCGCACUGCUCAGCACUGACACAGGGCUGGGAAUAGUGCCUGUUCCUACCAGCCACAUUCAACAACAUCAACAUUCACCAUGGACUGGGACAGUGCAUGAGGUUCUUACCUCAAAGGGAAGAAUAAUUAGCUCAAGAUCGAGCCCUACGUUAGUCUUGCUUAACAGAUUCUAAAAUCAAAAUUCAGAAAGAACAGGUAACAUUAAGCAAUUUAACUGCAUCCUUGAAUGAGGGCCAGAAACAUUUUUAUUAAAGUAUUUAUUAUGCAAAAAGCUAAAAUUCAUGAUGUUUGAUAUCUGAUAAAAGAUUUCCAAGUGUGAACAACUCAGACAAUUAAUGGAUAAACAAAAUGUAUUGUGUCCAUACAAUGGAGUGUUCAUUAAUAGGAAGAAAUGAAAUUCUGAUACAUGCUACAAUGUGGCUAGAGCUUUAAAACUGUCUAGUAAGUGAACAAUGCCAAGCACAAAAGACCAACAAUUUAUAACUCCUAUUGUAUCAAAAGUCCAGAGAAGACAAAUCCAGAGACAGAAAGUAGACCUGUUGUUGGGGCAGGAGUAGAGAAGGGGAAUGUGGGGAGUAUUUGAUAAUAGGCAAUGAGUUUAUUUGUGGAGUAAUGAAAAUGUUGUAAGAUUAAUAGUAAGAGUUGCAAAAUUCUGUGACUGUACCAAAAACCAUCGGAUGUACACUUUAAAGCAAAUUCCAGGAAUGCUAAAAGGCAGGAAAAUAUGAAUUACA